GAUAACUCCAGCAAAAAAAAACUAUGUUUUGCGUUAUACACUAUGUGUUUCUUCUAUGCGUGACUUGCUGCGUUGUUGUUUCUUUGUGCUUCUAUGGAAACUCGUCCAUGGUUACAAGAAGGCAUAAACAAAAUCAGUGGGACGGAUAACAGUACAAUAGGUAUUUUGGAUGAGGGCAUCAAUAAGUCUCUUGAUUGAAAGAGAAAUAAGAAAUCCUCUACUGAGAAUCAAUCACUAUAUCAAGACUCUCAGGAUCAAGGAGCUCCACCAUCAAGAAAGACAAAGAAACAAUUGUCUACUCGUUUAGUUGGUUAUCAUACAUAGUAAUCUUCUAUAUAUCUGUCCAAAACUAGAUGCAGAUGGUUGUUACCGUGUUUUUAUUUUCUGUUGCUAUUAAAAGUUUCAUGAAUCUAGAGGGAAG